AUUGAACGCUGGCGGCAUGCCUUACACAUGCAAGUCGAACGGCAGCACGGGAGCAAUCCUGGUGGCGAGUGGCGAACGGGUGAGUAAUAUAUCGGAACGUGCCCAGUAGUGGGGGAUAGCCCGGCGAAAGCCGGAUUAAUACCGCAUACGACCUGUGGGUGAAAGCGGGGGAUCGCAAGACCUCGCGCUAUUGGAGCGGCCGAUAUCAGAUUAGCUAGUUGUGGGGUAAAGGCCCACCAAGGCGACGAUCUGUAGCUGGUCUGAGAGGACGACCAGCCACACUGGGACUGAGACACGGCCCAGACUCCUACGGGAGGCAGCAGUGGGGAAUUUUGGACAAUGGGCGCAAGCCUGAUCCAGCAAUGCCGCGUGCAGGAAGAAGGCUUUCGGGUUGUAACUGCUUUGUCAGGAAGAAAUCCUCUAGGUUAAUACCCUUGGGGGGAUGACGGUACCUGAAGAAUAAGCACCGGCUAACUACGUGCCAGCAGCCGCGGUAAU
rnacentral:rRNA from 1 species